AGAGUUUGAUCCUGGCUCAGGACGAACGCUGGCGGCGCGCCUAACACAUGCAAGUCGAACGGAGCUUAGAGAGCUUGCUUUUUAAGCUUAGUGGCGAACGGGUGAGUAACGCGUGAGUAACCUGCCCUAGAGUGGGGGACAACAGUUGGAAACGACUGCUAAUACCGCAUAAGCCCACGGUACCGCAUGGUACUGAGGGAAAAGGAUUUAUUCGCUUUAGGAUGGACUCGCGUCCAAUUAGCUAGUUGGUGAGGUAACGGCCCACCAAGGCGACGAUUGGUAGCCGGACUGAGAGGUUGAACGGCCACAUUGGGACUGAGACACGGCCCAGACUCCUACGGGAGGCAGCAGUGGGGGAUAUUGCACAAUGGGGGAAACCCUGAUGCAGCGACGCCGCGUGGAGGAAGAAGGUUUUCGGAUUGUAAACUCCUGUCGUUAGGGACGAUAAUGACGGUACCUAACAAGAAAGCACCGGCUAACUACGUGCCAGCAGCCGCGGUAAAACGUAGGGUGCAAGCGUUGUCCGGAAUUACUGGGUGUAAAGGGAGCGCAGGCGGGAAGACAAGUUGGAAGUGAAAACCAUGGGCUCAACCCAUGAAUUGCUUUCAAAACUGUUUUUCUUGAGUAGUGCAGAGGUAGAUGGAAUUCCCGGUGUAGCGGUGGAAUGCGUAGAUAUCGGGAGGAACACCAGUGGCGAAGGCGGUCUACUGGGCACCAACUGACGCUGAGGCUCGAAAGCAUGGGUAGCAAACAGGAUUAGAUACCCUGGUAGUCCAUGCCGUAAACGAUGAUUACUAGGUGUUGGGGGAUUGACCCCCUCAGUGCCGCAGUUAACACAAUAAGUAAUCCACCUGGGGAGUACGACCGCAAGGUUGAAACUCAAAGGAAUUGACGGGGGCCCGCACAA
rnacentral:rRNA from 1 species